AUGCAUGCAUGCUGCAUGCGACCAGAGCCGGCUAUACUAAUUUCCUGCAGCCAUGAGGCCGAGACACUCGGCGGUGAGAGGCUUGAAGAUGCGCUGCUCAUCGGAGUCGAGCGCUGCGGCGAGCUUCGGCCAAACGGACAUGCCGAAGAUCCAGGAACCACCACCACCACCGUCACCCCCCGGACGCGCCAUGAUCUUCACGAAGCCGGAGCACAGCCUCCCGCAGUCUACCCACGUAGGCAUCGCUACGGCGGCGUGCCCGAAUCCGAAGUCCGUGUCGACGCUGAAGGACGCGAACGACGUAACGCCCAUCGCUGGGCUGCCCAGCCCGACGGUCGCCGUCUCCACGAACUUGACCGCAGCCUUGCCAUUGCCCUUGCCCUUGUGCUCCUCCACCCAGUCCACCAGCUCCUGGAAGUGCUCGUCGGUGGCCGUCGACCUGAUGGACUUGCGCACCAUCGACGCGAUCUCUGGGAGCGGCCUCCGCUGGAUCGCGUCCACGCUCGCCUCCGCCACCGCGAACGUCGUGACGUUGCCGACGUAGUUGCGCAUGGCUUCCUCCGGCGCGGUUGUGACACGCCGUCGCCCGUUCACCCACCAGCCCAUGCGGCAACUCUCGUCCGACGAGCCCACGGUGGCGGCGAACACCUUCCACAGGUACGCAGACACCGCCUCGACGCGGCUCGCGCCGCGCUCCCCGUCGGCGCUCGCCUGCGCGCGCAGCAUGGCGAGGUCCCGCUCCUCGACGUAGUAGGUGCGGCCGACCAAGGAGCCCCCGGCCGUGAGGGCGUUGACGAGACGCUCGCUCACCAGCGGCAAGAACAGAUCGCCCACCGAAGGGCCGUGCGACGGCGCGGCACGAGGGCGGAAGAUGGAGCGGUCGUAGUUCGGGGCGGCGACGAUCGUCCCGGACCGCGCGAGCUCAGACCACGCGUCAACGAUCAUGCACAGGGCGCACCCGUCCGCGAGGCCGUGGUUCGUGCUCCAGGACACAACGAACCCUCCACAGGAGAACGAAACGAGCUGCACCGACAGCGCGACGUCCGCGGCAUACUGGACAGGGACGCCGACCCUCACCAGGGACGCGUCCAGGUCGCCGAAGUCCAGGCUGCCCAGCGCCAGGCCGACCUCACCGACGACGAGCUCCGCGCCCUGGUUGUCACAGUGCACCUCCGGGAGCCCUGA
rnacentral:rRNA from 1 species